rnacentral:rRNA from 1 species
AUUGAACGCUGGCGGCAGGCCUAACACAUGCAAGUCGAACGAGUGGCGGACGGGUGAGUAAUGUCUGGGAAACUGCCUGAUGGAGGGGGAUAACUACUGGAAACGGUGGCUAAUACCGCAUACCAUCAGAUGUACCCAGAUGGGAUUAGCUGGUAGGUGGGGUAACGGCUCACCAAGGCGACGAUCCCUAGCUGGUCUGAGAGGAUGACCCGCCACACUGGAACUUAGACACUGUCCAGACUCCUACGGGAGGAAGCAGUUGGGAAUAUUGCACCAUGGGCGCUAGCCUGAUGCAGCCAUGCCGCGUGUAUGAAGAAGGCCUUAGGGUUGUAAAGUACUUUCAGCGGGGAGGCGUUACCCGCAGAAGAAGCACCGGCUAACUCCGUGCCAGCAGCCGCGGUAAUAC